UCUGUUCUGGGAAAGGGUCUUAUGAAACAAAGGGGGUUUUGGUUAUUGGGAGAAAGACAGAAACUCUUUUGUUUUGGAGGUUUGGGGGCUCUUAUCGAGUGUAUACAAUUUGGGGUUUAUUUGGCUAGAAUAAGUUAUUAAACAAAUGUCUUGGAAGGAGGUCUGGUAUUUCGCAGGGUGGGUCUUAUCUGUAUUUGGACAUAUACUGAGUGAUAUUACAUAUUAUUACCGAGGGGUGUAGACUUGUACUACCAUUACAUAACACUAUAUAAAGGAAUUGGUGUGCACCUAAACUUGGACUACAAUUUAAGAAGGAUACAUCAUUCUGGAUAAUCACCAUUCGUUCAUCAUUUCUUUCCUGGGCCUUGAUAACUGCAUAGAUAAGCUUCACCUGUGGAAUGGAAAAACUGUUGUCCAAGGAGACUGGGUGGCUGUGUUUUAUUCAGGCAGCAGAUUUCCCCCCCAUUGGACAAGUUUCGCACCUGGACAAUGUAAAUGGUAUUGCCUCUGUCCGAUUUCUGAAAGGGCGGAGGCUUUCCAAGACAGAUGUUCAGGACGUGGAGAAUCAAUUUAUCAUUUGCACCCUUCGUGUACAGUACGUGCAUGAAAAGGAUUAAUUUUUCACACACCCUCUUAUGAAGGACAAAGUAGAAAUUGCUAAACAAAUGAAUAGUGAAUUUCAUAUGUGACUCCCUUUCCUCAAACCCACAUAAAGUGGCCAGAUAUAUGUGCUAUGAGCCAAAAUGUGUGAAUUAUAGUAGGCUUGUUGCAUUUUGAGGUACGAUGAUUACUAAGGACACAUACUCCUUGGAUCAAAAGAAAAAAA